CGGAAAGCGCCGCAAUUCCGGGGAAUUCGGCGCUUGCACUUGACUGGGGGUCAAGGGGUCGCAGGUUCAAAUCCUGUCGUCCCGACCA
rnacentral:tRNA from 1 species